rnacentral:rRNA from 1 species
AGACGUAGGGGGCGAGCGUUGCUCGGAUUCACUGGGCUUAAAGGGGGCGUAGGCGGUGAGACAAGUCCAGGGUUGAAGGCGGGGGCUCAACCUCCGUAGGGCCCUGGAAACUGUCUCACUUGAGUGAGCGAGGGGAGGGCGGAAUUCCCGGUGUAGCGGUGAAAUGCGUAGAUAUCGGGAGGAAGGCCGAUGGCGAAGGCGGCCCUCUGGCGCUCAACUGACGCUGAGGCCCGAAAGCGUGGGGAGCAAACAGGAUUAGAAACCCUGGUAGUCCC